UCCAGAGUUUGAUCAUGGCUCAGGACGAACGCUGGCGGCGUGCUUUACACAUGCAAGUCGAACGAUGAUGCCUAGCUUGCUGGGUUGAUUAGUGGCGAACGGGUGAGUAACACGUGAGUAACCUGCCCCAGACUCUGGGAUAACUCCGGGAAACCGGGGCUAAUACUGGAUAUCACUUCCUGGUGCAUGCCGGGUUGUUGAAAGGGUUUCUGGUCUGGGAUGGGCUCGCGGCCUAUCAGCUUGUUGGUGGGGUGAUGGCCUACCAAGGCGAUGACGGGUAGCCGGCCUGAGAGGGUGACCGGCCACACUGGGACUGAGACACGGCCCAGACUCCUACGGGAGGCAGCAGUGGGGAAUAUUGCACAAUGGGCGCAAGCCUGAUGCAGCGACGCCGCGUGAGGGAUGACGGCCUUCGGGUUGUAAACCUCUUUCAGUAGGGAAGAAGCCACUUGUGGUGACGGUACCUGCAGAAGAAGCGCCGGCUAACUACGUGCCAGCAGCCGCGGUAAUACGUAGGGCGCAAGCGUUGUCCGGAAUUAUUGGGCGUAAAGAGCUCGUAGGCGGUUUGUCGCGUCUGCUGUGAAAUCCUCAGGCUCAACUUGGGGCGUGCAGUGGGUACGGGCAGACUAGAGUGCGGUAGGGGAGACUGGAAUUCCUGGUGUAGCGGUGGAAUGCGCAGAUAUCAGGAGGAACACCGAUGGCGAAGGCAGGUCUCUGGGCCGUUACUGACGCUGAGGAGCGAAAGCAUGGGGAGCGAACAGGAUUAGAUACCCUGGUAGUCCAUGCCGUAAACGUUGGGCACUAGGUGUGGGGUCUGUUUCCACGGAUUCCGCGCCGUAGCUAACGCAUUAAGUGCCCCGCCUGGGGAGUACGGCCGCAAGGCUAAAACUCAAAGGAAUUGACGGGGGCCCGCACAAGCGGCGGAGCAUGCGGAUUAAUUCGAUGCAACGCGAAGAACCUUACCAAGGCUUGACAUGCACGAGAAGCCACCAGAGAUGGUGGUCUCUUUGGACACUGGUGCACAGGUGGUGCAUGGUUGUCGUCAGCUCGUGUCGUGAGAUGUUGGGUUAAGUCCCGCAACGAGCGCAACCCUCGUCCUAUGUUGCCAGCACGUGAUGGUGGGGACUCAUAGGAGACUGCCGGGGUCAACUCGGAGGAAGGUGGGGAUGACGUCAAAUCAUCAUGCCCCUUAUGUCUUGGGCUUCACGCAUGCUACAAUGGCCGGUACAAAGGGCUGCGAUACCGCGAGGUGGAGCGAAUCCCAGAAAGCCGGUCUCAGUUCGGAUUGGGGUCUGCAACUCGACCCCAUGAAGUCGGAGUCGCUAGUAAUCGCAGAUCAGCAAUGCUGCGGUGAAUACGUUCUCGGGCCUUGUACACACGGCCCGUCAAGUCAUGAAAGUCGGUAACACCCGAAGGCAGUGGCCCAACGUCUUGUAGGGGGGGAGCUGUCGAAAGUGGUAGUGGCCAUGAGGGACUAAGUCGUAACAAGGUAGCCGUACCGGAAGGUGCUGCUGGAACACCUCCUUCUAGACUGCAGAGAUCCAGAGGAAAUCCAGUCUCACUACCGGGGUCUAGUCAGACGGGACGACUGGCGGGUAUAUGUGGAGCCUGAGAAUACACUAUCAAACGCGACAGACCGGCUAGAAGCCCCUUCACACCAAAGUAGUCUGAUAGCCCUUGCACCUAGUUGUAACGGGGUUGUCGGGCACUGAU
rnacentral:rRNA from 1 species